GUAAACAACAAACCAGGAACAACGGGGCCCUUGUUCCACUCCCCCCUUCAAACCCACUGUCCAACAGGUCCUUCCAACAGCCACGGGCUCAUCCUGCUUCUGCUCCUCCCCUCAGGGCACAGGAGCAGCCUGGCCCCGUGCUGGGAGCAGUUCCUGCCAUUGAGGUCGUGCCUUUGAUGUGGGGCUUUGAGCCGGGCUGGUCCCUGCAGGGCAGGCAGGAUCCUCACAGAUCCUUCUGGAGCAGUUUUGGGGCCAACAUCUCAUUUUGCUCCACACACAGACACCCUGUGGGCUGGUGGUGACACCGUGAGCCCUUCACCUGCUCACCCUGACCCCUUAGUCCAGCCCUUCCAGGUGAUGUCCCACUGGGAGCCCCAGGCACAACACCCCAAACUGGCACAGACAGCCCAUCGUCCCAGCAAAGGUGUCCCCUGGCACUGGCUCCACCAGGGCUGAGACCUGGAAAACCUUUUCCUUUGCACGGACCUGGGGGGGUCCCCCUGGGGAGCAGCACAGGGUCCAUCCCUGUGGGAUUCCUCCCCCCUCCCUGUGCCCCACUCCUGCCCACGACCUGAGAGGACUAAGCCAGCAGCGACCUCUGCUCCUGUUGCACGAGGACAGGUCACCUGCCCACAUCUGAACAGGUCAGACCAGCUUGUUCCCUGCCCAUCCCUCACCCGUCCCACAUUCCAAAGUCAGGAUAUGCCUGGGUGCAGGAGGGCAUGGGGGGGCUGAGCCCAGCCCUGCUCACCUGCUCACACAGGUGUCCUCUCCAGGAAAUUUGGAGCAUGACCUGGUUCUUUCUACAGAAACACACGGAAACAACUCCCCGGCAGGGAGGAGCAGCUUCCUCCCAGCCUGCUCAGGAGCAGCUCUCUUCCCAGCCUGCCCCAGCUCCUGGAUUUGGGAGCCGAGCGUGGGACAGGUGGCUGACGCACACCUGAGACUGCAAGAACUUUCACCAUCUGUAAUAAACCACCCGCGUCCAACCCACAA